UGCCAGCCGCCGCGGUAAUACGGAGGGUGCGAGCGUUAAUCGGAAUUACUGGGCGUAAAGCGUGCGUAGGCGGUUUAUUAAGCGAGAUGUGAAAUCCCGGGGCUUAACCUCGGAACUGCAUUUCGAACUGGUAGGCUAGAGUACUGUAGAGGGUGGUGGAAUUUCCAGUGUAGCGGUGAAAUGCGUAGAGAUUGGAAGGAACAUCAGUGGCGAAGGCGGCCACCUGGACAGAUACUGACGCUGAGGCACGAAAGCGUGGGGAGCAAACAGGAUUAGAUA
rnacentral:rRNA from 1 species